AUUGAACGCUGGCGGCGUGCUUAACACAUGCAAGUCGAUCGGUAACAGGUGUAGCAAUACAUGCUGACGAGAGGCGGACGGGUGAGGAAUAUUUGGGAAUCUGCCCAUCAGCGGGGGACAACCCGGGGAAACUCGGGCUAAUACCGCAUACGCUCUACGGAGGAAAGCCGGGGACCGCAAGGCCUGGCACUGAUGGAUGAGCCCAAAUCGGAUUAGCUAGUUGGCGGGGUAACGGCCCACCAAGGCGACGAUCCGUAGCUGGUCUGAGAGGACGAUCAGCCACACCGGAACUGAGACACGGUCCGGACUCCUACGGGAGGCAGCAGUGGGGAAUAUUGGACAAUGGGGGAAACCCUGAUCCAGCGACGCCGCGUGCAGGAAGAAGGCCUUCGGGUUGUAAACUGCUUUUGUACGGAACGAAACGGUCUGGGUUAAUACCCUGGGCUAAUGACGGUACCGUAAGAAUAAGCACCGGCUAACUACGUGCCAGCAGCCGCCGUAACAC
rnacentral:rRNA from 1 species